GAAGAUUUUAAUGCUGUGCCUUGGUGUUUCGGUCUCGAUCAAGGGCAAUGAGUCUCCAUGAAUCACCUCUUUGUUUUGGCUAUCAUGGUAGGACAUUAUUGACAAGCCAGGGUAUUACAAGAAAAUCUCCUUUUUGCCUUUAUUGUUUUCAUUUGAUCUGCUCUAUUUCCCUUAUAGUUUCUUCAAGUGUUUAUUGAGCACUACCAUAAUCGUUUGGGCACACUGGAUGCUGGUGACACACAAUGGUGAACAAAACAGACAAAAGUCUUUGCUAUCAUCCAUCGUGAAGCAUAUAUUCUAGUGUGAAGAGACUCCAGAGAAACAAAACAAGAUAACUACCUGAGCCACUUCUUAACUGGUGCAACACCUGGCUGAAUGCUCAGGGCACACCGCAGAAGGUGGGACGUGGGAGGCUCUAAGAGCCCUUCAGGAGGUGUGGAGGUUUCAGGAGAUCAUGGAGAGGACAAGAGCGCCCGUUGACCCACGAACCGGAUCCGGAAUUCAGAGGCUCACCCGCCCCCACCCCAGCCCCGGAACGUACGGAACGUACGUUCUGCCCACCCUUUCCACGGUUGGAGCCAUUUUCAAGGACGCAGCUUGAGGUGUUGAGCCCAUCUCUACCGCUUAGGUGGCUGAACCCAGCAAAGCACAGCCGCUGCUCCUUACCUUGGAUGAGGGGUAUCUCCUUACCGCCACCGUUUCUGGUCAGAAGUUACCAUAGAAGCUUCCAAGUAUAA
rnacentral:lncRNA from 1 species